CCGAAUGGGGAAACCCAGUGUGAUUCGUCACACUAUCAUUAACUGAAUCCAUAGGUUAAUGAGGCGAACCGGGGGAACUGAAACAUCUAAGUACCCCGAGGAAAAGAAAUCAACCGAGAUUCCCCCAGUAGCGGCGAGCGAACGGGGAGGAGCCCAGAGCCUGAAUCAGCAUGUGUGUUAGUGGAAGCGUCUGGAAAGGCGCGCGAUACAGGGUGACAGCCCCGUACACAAAAGCGCAUGUGCUGUGAGCUCGAUGAGUAGGGCGGGACACGUGGUAUCCUGUCUGAAUAUGGGGGGACCAUCCUCCAAGGCUAAAUACUCCUGACUGACCGAUAGUGAACCAGUACCGUGAGGGAAAGGCGAAAAGAACCCCGGCGAGGGGAGUGAAAAAGAACCUGAAACCGUGUACGUACAAGCAGUGGGAGCACCCUUUGGGGUGUGACUGCGUACCUUUUGUA
rnacentral:rRNA from 1 species